rnacentral:rRNA from 1 species
UACGUAGGGUGCGAGCGUUGCCCGGAUUUAUUGGGAGUAAAGGGCGCGUAGGCGGCUCGGCACGUCCGUUGUGAAAUCGCCCGGCUCAACUGGGCGGGGUCAGCGGAUACGGUCGAGCUUGAGCAAGCUAGGGGGUAAUGGAAUUCCCGGUGUAGUGGUGGAAUGCGUAGAUAUCGGGAGGAACACCAGUGGCGAAGGCGGUUACCUGGGGCUUUGCUGACGCUGAUGCGCGAAAGCGUGGGGAGCGAUCCGG